AACGGUUAUUUCAUAUCAAAUUUAGUGAAGAAUAAAUUUGUUCUUUAAUUCUCUACAAUAAAAGGAGUGAAAAGGAAUGAAAAAGAAUAACUAUUCCUAAUCUAACUAUAUUAAAAGGGGAAUAAGAUCAAAGGGGAAGCUGUCCACGUCGACAAAAAAAAUCGUCUAAUAGGAAAUCAGAGUUUUGCCACGUCAGAUGCGACGCCAUCGUCAUUUGGGCUUCAAAGCCUACGUUUUUUUUGUGUUUCGUCAUCGUCCAUAUUCGAUAAGCCCCUGAAGCCCAGACUUUUUUCUCUCCUAAUUUCUUUCUUUCUAUUUGGGUGUUUGUUGGGCUAUUCCGGAAAAUAUACUUUGGCCCAUCUUCUAUUAGAGGUUUCUCUAAACGACCACAAAAUCUCUGUCACUCUUCGCCUCCUUCACACUCCGGCCAUCUCCCCUGUAACGUCAUCCAUUUUUGUGUAACAUCCCUUUAAUCUCAGCAUUUACUUUGAACCCACUACCUAUCCCACUCUCUAUCAAUUAAACAUCGUUAUUAUCAUCAAAGGUAACGGCUUGAAGCUCUAGAGUAUAAAUAUGUUUCUUCUCCACGAUGUAGACCUACACUGCUACAAAAUCUCAAAGUCCAGAUGUUGUAAAGCUUCAAUUCCAACUAUGUCGUCUCAAUAGCUUCAAUUUAAGUUGAAGGCUGGUUGGUGUAAGGCGACUGUUGUCACCCGGCUCCUCGGUUUCAGGCGAGAAAGGGAAACACUUUGAGAAGCAGGUUGGUUUCUAAUAAGGGAACGUAGCGGAACAUUGAAACAAAGGAAGGUUAAAGGAGAGAUAAGAGAGGGCAAGCGAGAGUAAACCAGUUGUGGAUCCAGUUCAGUAAGUAACAUUAUCCUUCUCUAAGAUCCAAUUAUUUAUUCCUCUGAUCUUGAAUUGACGAAUUGAUCCAGUUGUCUAUUUCAACUGAGUUCAUUCACGUCUUUGUAUUCUUAGAAAUGAUAUGAUUUUUGAACGAUUGCUGGACUUUCAAAAUUGUUAAGUGAUCAUUCAUAGGCAUAUUGAAGAAAAGGGAUUCAACUUCUGCUCGCUCCUCUACUUUCCCGACACGCUUACCACAAUUGGGGCAGUCUCUCUAUGUCGGAGUCACAUGUCAUCUUAUUGAUUAACGUUCGGGUCAAACUUUCGACAUGAUGGUUGCUUGGGAAUCCUUCUGAUGCAAGCCGCUCAUUGCUCAAUGUAAGCCUCUUUGGAUUUCUGCGUUUGCAAUCUGGUGAGUAAAUAUCAGAUAUGAUCGUGUUGACUUCUUCAUCAGCUGGUGCUCCGCCUCAUUUCUUUGUUAGUGACAAGUUUCGAAUGGACUAGAAAGGUAAGUAAACACUUUCAUUUCUUCAGGUAAAAUUUAACUGAAAUAUGAAUCUUCGAAAAUCCUUGAAUACUUUCUAGAACAAAAAAAAAAACUAAACACAUUGUGCUGACAGUUUCUGGUUCAGGAACUCAAAAGAGGUGAAAACAUUACAAAAAACUUCCUGGGUAUUUCGACCACUGGCAUCAUGCCUCUUCACAUCAGAGGUGCGUCGAGGGAAACCAUUUGUUGAAAUAGUUUAUACCCGUAAAACAAGAAGGUUAUGAUUUCUAUCUAUUAAAAAGUAGUAACACCACGUUGAUCCACUAAUGAUAUACUGUUCAUACACUUUCUUACUAGCAAUGCUCUUAUCUUAAGGUGAGGUCGAGGCUAUCCGCAUCCUUUAUGUCCCACCAGUCAUACCAAUGCGGAAGGAUGACAUGGUUAAUCAGAAUACAAAGAACAUAAGGCUCUAUGUACGAGUUUUCAUUCGAUGAUUGUGAUGGGGAGUUGGUGAGAGAAGCGUUUCUUGGUGUGGCCUUUCAAGAAAUCUAUAUUUCUAUUUUGUCUUCUAUCUGCUUUUGUGGUGUUUUGGUGCUUCGGAAACUGUUUCCUUGCACACGAUCUUUCACUGAGCUGUGUCAUGAGAUUUUCAAGAAAGAUGUAUCCCAUACAUCAGAAUGAGGCUUUGUUCACAAAACCCCAAGUCAAGUUGAAGAGUCAAGACAAACUAAGUGUUCUGUCCUCUUUCUCUGCUCAGCUCAACGGUAAGAAUAGAGGAGGUGACAGUCAGUCAAGGUACGGCAAAGCUGAAGAAUCAAAUCGAGCUGCAUAAUAGAUUUGGGGCUCUUGGAUCUCGAACUGUGACGUGUCGUUAGUACACGAGCUAUGUGCUUUAGGGUUUCUGUAAUCUUCUAUAUUGGCAACUCUCUGUAAAUGCUAAGCUAAAAGAUACUCAAAGUUUUUACAAA